ACGCAACUCACGGCUGCUGCUGACAAGGGCAUUCACAUAUUUAUUCGUAAAACCAUUUUAUUUUUUGGUGGAUGAAAACAUUGUGUCAAUAUGCUAUGUCUAUGUUCGCCUUAUUCACCCGGAACGUUCUAAAGACGUUGAGGGGUACACUUCAGGGGUACAUUCGGCAACGCACCAGCUGUCAUGGCGCCUCACUGUUGUGUGCCCAAAUGUUCGUCCUCAAAGAGAAAAAAAAAUCCUACCGUGGACAGACUUUCCACCGUUUCCCCAAAGAGCAGGCACUUCGCCGUGGAUGUAUAAAUCACAUCUAGAGGGGUCCUGGUCCAUAUUUCAAGAUCAACGCUGAGACCAAGGUUUGCUCUGAGCACUUUGAGAAGCAGUGUUUUGUAAAGACCACCCGUGUUAUCACAAAGCUUAUAAAGGAUGCUGUGCCAACUUUCGCCUGGACUUCAGAGAGGCCAAAGAGGAGAAUCAUCAUUCGCAGACCGAGAGAUGAUGACCCAUUCCUGAAGUUGGACGCCAGAAUGCAGGAAGGUGCUGUUUAAGAGCCUAGGCGGUGGAAGAAGCACUUGCAGGUAUGCUACCGACCAGGCUCCUCAACAUCAAUCCGAGACGGAAGAUGAAACGGGAUGAAGCAGUUAGAUUGAGACAAGGAGGCCGGAAACUUUGAUGACCUCAAUGACACUGGCUAGGUGAAGGACAUCAAGAAAAUGGCAUCAGGUCACCAGACAUCAGCUCAUAAUCCACAACGUCAUCAACCAUUUUGCGCCAAAAAUGAAGCCGUUCACAUACCAUGGCAUCCUAAGCAGGCAGCACUACACUACUGUGCAACAGUGAGAGAGAGUGGGCAAGGACAAGUAAAGCGGACCUACACUACAGCAAGACUUUGACACUUCUCCACGUGAGAGGCAGCCAUCGCCCCCACCGUUGAGCAGUGUGUACCCAGUACCCCCAAAAGAGGAGAUGAUCCGACGCCCUCACAGCCGAUUCCCAAAAUUGUACACAAAAACUCUGUAUGGGCAAGUGUGUGUGUGUGUAUGAUAUUGUAAAACUUUUCAGUCCAUCUUCUAUACUAUACAAUGUAUAAAUAUACAUGUGAAAACCUAAAUAUGCAUUAAAAACCAUUACUGAGGUUAAGAAAUGCAUUAUAACAAAUACAUCUGAUUCAGGUGUACUGUACAUAGAAAUGUCUUUAUUUGCCACAAAUACAUCACAUCCUGGAAACCUGUACAAUGUGUAGAUUCAAAGGUCUGCCAGAUCUUUGUGACGGCACAGGAUUGCAGUGGAACCCAAACAUAGCCUAUGAACUCCCACGCCAUCUCACCAACUGCCGAUAUGCAGUAUGCCUGAAUUUCCUGUACAGCAAAGAAAUGUAGAGAUUGUGCCUUCAUCGAGAAUAGGUCAUUUGGAAUCACAACAUAUUCAAUUUACUUUGUGUGUGUGGUGUAGC